AUGUUUAAGCAUGAGUAUGCCGCAAGAUUGACUUUGCAAAUGCAUGAAUUUUCAGUGUUGAACCCGCAACCUUGCUAUCAGUUUGCAAAAUAAAGAACUUUUAAUUGAUUAGAUAAAUAUGACUGAAGAGUCAAUUGAGCCAGAAGUUCUUGAGCGUCAGGAAACUCAUGAUGAUUCUCUGAAAGACAUGGAGGAAACAAUAUAUCAGUUGCGGGCGAACAGGAAAAUAAGAUUGGCGUUGUUAACACGCCAAAUGAACAUUGUUAAAGGAUUGUUGGAAGAUGAUUUAAAUGUUGUUGAAGUCAGACAAAGCAUGGUCAAAUACAGGAAAUUACUGGAUGAAUUUAAAGAUGCUCAUAAGUCUAUCCAACAUCUUUUAAGUGAGGAAGAGCGUAGAAUGGAUCUUGAGAAGUGGUUCCAACCUAAAAUGGACGCAAUUCAAGAUUUUAUGUCAUGUGUGACUACCUGGUCGUCUAGUACCGCAGUUAUAAAAGAUGCUGAUGUUGAGGUUGAUGCUCCUGCUGACAAUGUUUCCAUAGUAUCUUUCAGGUCAAAAGAGUCUACAUGGAGCUCACGCAGUUCACGGAGCUCGCACAGUUCUCGGAGUUCACACGGUUCACACUUGUCAGCACUGAUUGAAGCAGAGGCGGAACAUGCUGCUCUAAAGGCCCGUUAUGCUGCAUUAAAAGAGAAACAUGCACUAGAGGAAAAGGAGCAGAAGCUAAACCUGAAGAAGGAGCAAAUAAGACAACAAAAAGAAACAUUGGAAAUGGAAUCUGACUUGGCAGCUACCACUGCUAGAAUUAACGUCUUGAAAGAAGUAGAAAAACCAGUAAGUUCAGUAGAUGCAAUGAAUGAAUAUAUUGAUAAAGAACAAGAUGCAUUGGAGUUGAAAAAAUCUCUGAUGGUACCAGGUGACUCAGUUAAAGGUGUCAGUCCUAAAGAGCCGCAUUCCGCAUUUCGAGACCAAAAGGAAAGCAAACCUCCUCUGAAACAUCCCAAAGCAAGGACAGUCACUUGGAAGCAGGUUCACUUGUAUCUGCACAGGCGGAGACGCAUACUGCCUUUAGAGAGGAGCGGCAACAUCUUGAACCAGUAUCCAGCGC
rnacentral:lncRNA from 1 species